AUUCUUCGAUACAAAAUGGAAAAUAAUAGAAGUACUCAAAGAAGCAACAACAAAAAUUAUGGCUCGUAAGGACAGAAGAACCAGAAAUGUCUCGAAGUCAUCAUGGACGUCUUCGGAGCCCUUCUUCAACCAAUAUAACAGUUUACCGCAUAGCCCUCCUUCAUCCACACCUGUUAACGUUAAUACAGUUGAGAAAUUUGAAGACAAUUUGGUACUGAACAAUUCUUCUGAGCAGUCAUAUUCUUCACUUCCACGCACAGAUGAUGAGUUUGCUUUGAAAAGAAACGAUAGGAACGAAAAAAAGAAAGGUGUAAUCACGAGGCUGGCCCAGCACAGAGAUGCAAAUCAUAACAUCCUCUUUCUCUCACAACCGCACAAUUUGCCUCUAUUUCUCGCUUCAAUUAUCUUACCCAGCAAACAUAAGGGCGAACAUUCUGCAUUUGAAUAAUAAAUGAUAAUAUUAAUUAACAAAAUUAAUUCAGCCCCCCGAGUAUAAAAAUAAAACCUGAAGAGAAGCAAAAAUACAAAAUAAAAAAAAAUAAAAAAGGGACUAGGAUGAGAGACAGAAAAGAGAUUAUAAUGGAAUGGGAAGAGACAGACGGAACAGAAGUUGGAAAAAAUGAAUAAUUAUUUCGAUUACCGCAGCAGAAAUAAAAAAAGGAAGAAAAUUCGACCGUCAUUUCCUUCUAUAUACAUGUAUAUGUGUGUACACAUGCAUGCUUCAUUAAUUCACAUACUUAUAUAAAAGUUCUCUCUCAAUCUGCAAUGACACAGAAGGGAUUGCCAGGUUGGGCUAUUUAUUGGAAAUUGGGCUAUUUUUUUUUUUAAAUUACUGAAAACAGUUUAUUACGACAGCCAUAUAAGAAUAAUUGAGCUAUAAGUAGCUCUUUGGCGUUAUUUUCCUUCGUACAAAUAGUAAAUUAUGUAAACAGUACAUUUUUUUAUAAAUUUUUUAGGUGUGUACAGCAGUGCUAUAGUGCUGUUUCAGAACAUGGCAACCAUGGAUAAAGGGGGAGUAAAAUGAGGAUAAGCCAUCUAGCAUUACAGACACCGCAGGACCAAUCUAGCAGGAUCAAAAUGGCGAUGUUGUUAUUUCGUGUUGUGUUGGAUUCAUUAAAUUUCUUGUAUCUUGUAUCUUUUAUUUCUUUAUUUUUGUAUAUUUCCUGACUAUGGUGCA